rnacentral:rRNA from 1 species
GGUGAACGUUGGCGGCGUGGAUUAGGCAUGCAAGUCGAGCGAGAACCGUAGCAAUACGGGGACAGCGGCGAAAGGGACAGUAAUGUGUAGGUACCUACCUCCGGGUUCGGGAUAGCUGCGGGAAACUGCAGGUAAUACCGAAUAACGUCUCCGGACCAAAGGUGUGAUUCCACCUGGAGAGGGGCCUGCAUCCUAUUAGCUUGUUGGCGGGGUAACGGCCCACCAAGGCGACGAUGGGUAGCGGGUGUGAGAGCACGACCCGCGUCAUUGGGACUGAGACACUGCCCAGACACCUACGGGUGGCUGCAGUCGUGAAUCUUCGGCAAUGGGCGCAAGCCUGACCGAGCGACGCCGCGUGCGGGAUGAAGGCCUUCGGGUUGUAAACCGCUGUCGUAGAGGAGGAAAUGCAGGGGGGUUCUCCCCUCUGCUUGACCUAUUCUAGGAGGAAGUACGGGCUAAGUUCGUGCCAGCCGCCGCCGUAA